rnacentral:lncRNA from 1 species
CUCGGGCCGCCCUUCCCCGGCGCGCCCUUUUCUAUACUCUCCGUGUUCCCGGAGCGCCUCGGCUUCUGUCAGCACCACGACGACGAGCUUGUGGCAGUGCUUAGCCCCUUGGGAAAGGGGACUUCUGGAUCUUCCAGUCUUGAGCCGUAUCUGCUCUGAAGCUGAUCAAGUACUGUGUAAAAAGCAUGUUCUGGUCUCUCAGCGAUCAUGGGGAAAUACCAUUCGGAGGUGGAAGCUGAGUCUCGAGGACCUUGCCCGUUGCUUUGACCCUGUUGGCACUCUUGGCGCUGCCCCGCCUGUCCUAGCUACCAUCUUUCUCUACGGGAACCGGUUUCCCAGGUUGGGAAUUGUCCCACCUUGAUCACUCAAGGGCGCAACUCCUUGGAAAAAGCCAGAGCAGCUACCUGCACCUUGAACCUGGAUGCACAGAAUCUGCGGGCUGUAUCGCAGUGUUUCAGCUUGAUUUUGCUGAGCUGUCGAAUAAAAAACUUUUAUCACUAUAUGACCCUUUACUCCUUUCCAUUUUG